UUUUUUAUAUUUUCGCGCAUUUUAGCGCCCGGUUUUUAUUCAUUUUAAUUCCUUUGUUUUUGUUUUUUUUAUCAAAAUGUUGAAAGAAAAAAAUAGAGACAAGUGUAUAAUCAUUUUAUUUUUAUUUGUCUUUAUUAAAAAAUAUUGAAUUUUAUUUGAAUUUAGUUUUUAACUCAUUUUUGUCAUCCAAGAAUAUAAAGAGGGUAUUAUGGGCAUUAAUGUAAAAAUGGAACCCUAGACUCAUACUAUAUAUACUUAAUAUAUUGUGGCUAGUGAGGGAAAG
rnacentral:lncRNA from 1 species